rnacentral:rRNA from 1 species
GACGAACGCUGGCGGCGUGCUUAACACAUGCAAGUCGAACGGAAAGGCCCUGAUUUUGUGGGGUGCUCGAGUGGCGAACGGGUGAGUAACACGUGAGUAACCUGCCCUUGACUUUGGGAUAACUUCAGGAAACUGGGGCUCAUACCGGAUAGGAGCUCCUGCUGCAUGGUGUGGGUUGGAAAGUUUCGGCGGUUGGGGCUGGACUAGCGGCUUAUCAGCUUGUUGGUGGGGUAGUGGCUUACCAAGGCUUUGACGGGUAGCCGGCCUGAGAGGGUGACCGGCCACAUUGGGACUGAGAGACGGCCCAGACUCCUACGGGAGGCAGCAGUGGGGAAUAUUGCACAACGGGCGGAAGCGUGAUGCAGCAACGCCGCGUGCGGGAUGACGGCCUUCGGGUUGUAAACCGCUUUCGCCUUUGACGAAGCGUGAGUGACGGUAAUGGGUAAAGAAGCACCGGCUAACUACGUG